CAAUAGCGUAUAUUAAAGUUGUUGCAGUUAAAAGCUCGUAGUUGGAUUUCUGGUGGGAACGUUUGGCCGGCCGUAACGGUUUGUGCUGAAAUGUUUUCGCCAUCCUUGACGAAUACUGGUCCGCCAUUAAGUUGUGUGGGCUUGGAGUCGUCAUCGUUUACUGUGAAAAAUUAGAGUGUUCAAAGCAGGCUUAUGCCGUUGAAUACAUUAGCAUGGAAUAAUAAGAUAGGACCCUGGUACUAUUUUGUUUGGUUUGUCGUACCUAGGUAAUGAUUAAUAGGGACAGUGGGGUAGUUUUGUAUUCCAUUGUCAGAGGUGAAAUUCUUGGAUUUAUGGAAGACAAACUACUGCGAAAGCAUUUACCAAGGAUGUUUUCAUUAAUCAAGAACGAAAGUUAGGGGAUCGAAGACGAUUAGAUACCA
rnacentral:rRNA from 1 species